rnacentral:rRNA from 1 species
AGCAGCCGCGGUAAUUCCAGCUCCAAUAGCGUAUAUUAAAGUUGUUGCAGUUAAAAAGCUCGUAGUUGAAUUUCGGGAUCAAUUCGUCGGUCGUGCUUUUUGGUACGUACUGGUGUUAUUGGUUUCUCCCUUCUGACGAACCAUGAUGUCAUUAAUUUGGUGUUAUGGGGAGUUAGGACUGUUACUUUGAAAAAUUAGAGUGUUUAAAGCAGGCAUUAGCUUGAAUACAUUAGCAUGGAAUAAUGAAAUAGGACGUUCGAUCCUAUUUUGUUGGUUUCUAGGAUCAACGUAAUGAUUAAUAGGGAUAGUUGGGGGCAUUAGUAUUCAAUUGUCAGAGGUGAAAUUCUUGGAUUUAUUGAAGACUAACUACUGCGAAAGCAUUUGCCAAGGAUGUUUUCAUUAAUCAAGAACGAAAGUUAGGGGAUCGAAGACGAUCAGAUACCGUCGUAG